UGCAUUACGCAUGCACGAACAUGUUAACACGUUAGGAUGUACCACCACGGCUCACUAAAACCUCUUGCUGGACAAAUGUCUGGUUUGUGACUCCCAUACAUACUCGAAUUCUCAUUCAAUUUCUGUUUACCAUGCAGUUUAGAAUUUGUGGGGGGUGGGGAGGGGUUGCGAGCGGUAAAAAAUCGGCAUCAUGUGCAACUUGGAUUUCUGACCCUACCCGCCCUUCGGUCUCUCAUGUAGGCUACUGUAUCAAACAAGCAACUGCCCUCCUAUUUAGAGUUACAGAGACUAACUACGUGCCUAAAGUGUCAGAGGGUUCUACCCGGGACUAGCCUGGGGGUGAACUGUAUUUUACUUAAUGACCUGUUAUUUGAACAGUUAUUGGUAGCCUACCAACUCUCUCGAUUGUUACCAUACUAUUUUUUUUUUUUUUGCAAUACGUCGAACGUAGCUCACAAACCAUAGCCUACUUCUAUUUGAUGAAGUAAACUCAAGCCUGACAGAUAAGGAGAUGUUCCUUAUCUGUAUGCGGCUCACGAAACGAAGGUGUGCACGCGCCACAUAGCACCAGCACCCUCAGUGCGUCUCGGACAGAGGUGAGCUACAGAGGGACAUCACAUGAUGAGUUAAAUGGGCAUUUGAUUGCAUUCCGCUUCAGCAAUAACUGAUCACCAAAAGAUCCUGAAGCACUUCACGAUUUGCAACAUCAUCAAUGAAAAGAAAAAAUCAAGAAAAAAGGGUCAACAAUGUUCAUGGUAAAACCAAAGCCUACAUUCUAUCACACAUAUAAACACAUACGUUAAGUAUGUUCACAUCUCUCUGUCACAUAUAUAAACACAUAAGUUAAGUAUGUUCACCAUCUCUCUGUUCUCUCUCUGUCACACAUAUAAACACAUAAGUUAGGUAUGUUCAC
ensembl:lncRNA